GUAUCAUUCCAAUCCGCCGAAAUCGUCGUUUCCCAUUCUCCACCACCAUCACCAUCCGCCGCCGCCGCCGUGGCGCUCCAGGAAGAAGCGCAAGUCCGACCGAGAAUCACCGCCGGCGGGCCUCGAUCUCAUCAACGCCCUCCCCGACGCCGUCCUCUGCACCAUCAUCUCCCUCCUUCCCACCAAGGAAGGAGCCCGCACGCAGGCCGCUCCGCGCCCCUCAACCUUGUCGCCGACUUCUCCCUCUCCUGGAAGGAGCGCAAGCUCGUUGUUCUCAUCUCCAGGAUCCUCGCCGAGCACCCUGGCCCAGCCCUCCUCUUCGAGCUCCCCGACAUCCGCCAACGCCACCAUGACACGCUCGACGGCUGGCUUCGCUCCCAGGCCCUCACCGGUCUCCAGAUCCUCUACUUAGGGUACAGCGCCGAUGAUGACAAACACCGCAUGCUACCGCCGCCCGCGCUCCGCUUCGCGCCCACACUCCGCGUUGCCACAUUCCGCCGCUGCCAUUCCCCGGACCUGUCCGGGCGAAUUUUCCAUGCCUCGACAAGUAUGAGGUCACCAUCUCGGCCUUGUCGGCGCAUUCUCUGAAUUUCCCACACCUCAAGCAGCUCAGCAUAUGCGAGGUCACCAUCUCGGGGGACUCUCUGCGCAACAUGCUCUCUGGCUGCCAUUCAUUGGAAAGCCUUUUUUUCUGGAAGGCAUUCUCGGCGUUGCUCGUCUCUGCAUCAGCUCCGCGACUCUUAGGAGCAUCGGCUUCUCUGCAAUAAGGCGGAGGGUGUUGGGGUGGGAUUGUGAUUGGGAUUUCGCUGACCUUUUACAAGAGCUUGUCAUCGAGGACGCUCCUUGCCUUGAGAGGUUGCAGCCCCUCUAUCCAGGUUCUGGUCCAGAGACUGUCCGGGUAAUCCAAGCACCUAAGCUGCAAGUAUUAGGUGUGUUGUCGAGGCAAAUAUUCAAACUCUUCAUUGGAACCACGGUUUUUCAGAAAAUGAUUCCCAUCAGCGUGACAACCACAUGCCCACCGUGAAGGUUUUAGCUAUUGAAUAUGAUGGCCCUAAUCUUGAUACACUAAUUGGCCUGCUCAAGUGCUUCCCCUGCUUGGAGAGGCUGUAUGUCAUUUUUAACGCACGGUCGCGGAUGAAGAUUGAAAGUGUGCAAAAAUAUGGCCCACUAGAUCCAAUUGAAUGCCUCGAGAGCUAUCUCAAAAGAGUGGUGUUGGAGGGCUACUCUGGGGACAAGCCGAAUGUUGAAUUUGCUAAGUUUUUCGUUUUGAAUGCGAAGGUGCUAGAAGAAAUGAAAUUUGGAUCCAUUCACAGCCGCGACCGCGAAUGGAAGUCUAAUCAACACAUGUGGUUACUAGUGGACAGCAGAGCUUCUCGAGACGCUCGAUUCGAAUUCACAAGUCAUUAUUGUAGGCAUAAUGGCCUAGGUAACAGUCAUACACAUGACUUACCAAUGGCCAAUCCCUUCAAGUGCUUUGAUGCUGCAUGCAGAGUCGGCGCGGAAUGCCUAUUUUGUAAGUCAAAGUAAUCCUCCCCUUAUGAAUCUCUGUUCCGUUGUGCUUGAAUGUUACCCUACUUUAGUGAUCUAAAUGCUCUUAUAUUUCUUUACGGAAGGAGUAUUUAGUAUCUUUUCUGUUGAUGUGAUGUUGUAAGUUGUGAGCUGCUACACCAUCAGCUUGCUUCUGUACUGGCUUUAGAAGGCAGGGCCUCUAAUAUUUCAAAAGCUAUAUUUUCUGUUUCGUUAUGCUUGAAUGUUGGUAUUUGACUCGUUUUCCGUAUAUUUUGCAGUGGUUGUUUCUUUCCUGUGUGAUGUAACGUUGUAAUCUGUUUUUAUACUAGCAGCUACUAUGCUUCCGAAACCUGAAACAAUCUCUCUGCCUGCUCGAUGUUCAGACAAACACCAGAGAAAGUGGUGUGCCUCAUUUUGUAACAGGAGAAAGCGUCGAGGUGGCCAAAAACCAGAGAAAAUGAAAUGCAGAGAAGAAAGAGAGCACAGCCAUAUUUCGAACUGCCUUUGCUUUCUCUAAGUUUGGGCACCCGUGUAGUAUGAACGCCUUUCUUAUUUUUCGAACUGCCUUUGCUCCACCAUCCUACAAUUCUCUUUUAGCAAGAAACUCAUAUUUGCUGUAAUAUGAACUUAAUGUCCGGAUGUUAUGAUCUAAUCUGGUCGUGCUUGGAAAGCAACGCCUUAAACUGUUAUUCUGAAAAACAGGUUGCUGAAGCUGUUUUAGUCUGAAACUGGUGGUCUGAAAAUUAGUUUGCUACGAAGUUUACUAAAGCCUCAGUUAGGACUUGUGUGAAACUGCAGUAGGACUUGUCUGGAUUUUCAUAAGUCAAAAAACUACACUGAACCUUCUAAUGGGAACUAUUGGUUUUGGUGCUCUGAUUCAGAUGAUUCAGUUCUUCAACUCAAUACUAUAUGCCGCUAGUGGAGAAGAUAAUGGGUUCAGUCUGCCCAGUUCAGCUUCAUAGAAAAGAUAAUGGUAUCUAUUUUCUAGCCUACUGUAAAUUGUUUCAAAUAACGUGUGGAAACAAUUCAGGUUGCAUACGACAGAAAAAUACAUUUUUUGAAGGUUUUGUACACCAUAUUUCUUUUUUAUCUUCUAAUUAUUAACUUGUGACACGUGAUGCCUAACUGCUUCACUGUUUCUUCUAAUUCAACCCACAGUAGAGAAGAGCUGCAGUACCUGGAUGUUGAUGCAGAGUAGAGAAGACCAGGGUCGGACUCCUGGCGGUCGCUCCACAGUUCACUUGUUCAGAGUGUCGCCGCCUUGGACACAACGGCAUGCGAAUUCAGAACUUUUUUGCACUGAGACACGGGUUCAGGAAUACCCAACAGCUGUUUUGUUUCUGCUGCCUAACCUGAUGUGGUGGUUCAGCACUUGGGUUUAGUUAUUCUGCUUAAAGUUUCAGUCCAGCAGCAGAAAAUGGGUUUGUGUUUGAAUGAGAGCGAGUUCUGAACAUGGCGAUGUUAAUGCACCCAGACACCAGAUGCCGGCGACAAAAUUCUACAGUACAUCGUGUGAUGUUGCUCUACUUCAGUUUGUGCCCGUAAUUCCUGAAAAUUUUACCCUUGCAUUCAGGGCAGGCUGCUCCAGUGAUGACUGAUGAGGAUGGACACGCCCUUGGAAUUACAUGCUGGCAACAUCUACACAAGGGCUAUGUUCGAGAAAUUCGGGGAGAUUCUUUACAAGGCUGGUCAGUACAAGGUGGAGGAGGUGGAUAAAGGUGCAAAGUACCUCGUGCAUCGUUACCAUCCAGAGAAGCAUGACAAAUGGUGCAGGGUUGUGUAUGCCGUGGGAGUUGGCGAUAAUGGUAAGGAGAUUAUGUGCUAUUGGCAAUUUUGAGCAGGCGGGCACACUUGCAGCAGUCAGCAAGACCAGAUUUCAGCUAACUCCAUCACUUUUCGGCAAUCGAACCUGUCCUGUAUACACAUGCUAUAUAUGGAGGUUGUUAGACUUUGUGAUGCAAACACAAGAGCCUAUGAGGUGGCCAUGGACUCUUCAAGGCAGCAAUGCAGAAGCUCACGCCUGUAGCUGCUAUAUAUGUGUGACGGACGGUAUUGGUUUGGAAGACAGGGUUCGCGAGAGCAAGAUCAUGCGUAAACACUAGUAGAAAAGGGCCUAAUGUGACGCACAUUAGUCCCAGUUUGUAACUGAACCGGCAUUAAUGUGACCAUUAGUGUCGGUUCCAACGGCUAGGCGGGUGGAGCUCAUUAGUACCGGUUCGUGGUGUAUCGGUUCGUGCCAUGAACCGGUUCGUGCCAUGAACCGGUGCUAAAGAGGUUGUGGCGGGCUGGGGCCCCAUCAGCAUUUUUAGUACCGGUUCAUGGCAUGAACCGGUACUAGAGUUUUUUAGUUGAUUUUCUUUGCAGCUGUUUUUUAGUCCCACCUCGCCAAGCGAGAGGCACUCGCAGCGGUUUAUAAGCCCUGAGUGUAGAGACGAUGAAGAAGAGACGCAAUGCUCAUCUGCACAUUGCUUAGCUUCAGGCCUUGAGGAAAU